UCAAGAAAAGCAUAAUUCAAAUGGACAGAGGCUAGCCCCAAUUCAAGAACAACCACCGAGGCAUUCCAAUGGGCAAACGCUAAUACCAAUAGAAGAGGAGCAACCGAGGCACUUGCUGGUUCACCACCACCAUCAGCAGCAGCAGCAGCAGCAGAAUUCGACCUCAGGGGCAGUUGUGGUUACCACACAAUGGGAAACCUUUGAUUCUUUCCCUGCGUUAAUGCCAGUCCCUUCAACAUCCACCUCAGUCACAAAUAAUAAUUCAGUUCAUCAACCCAAGUUCCCAUGGGAUUUCUUCGACUAGGCUCUAUGCCACAUCGCCACGGGCACCUUGAUGUUGUUUCUUCAAAUGUGUGUGGAUGUGCUUUGGAUUUGUCCCAGUUGGUUUGUUAUCAUCUCCAUUCUU
rnacentral:misc_RNA from 1 species